UGGAGUAGUCAGUUGGAGGUUGAGGAUGACUUUUUUGGGAAGGAAUGGGAGGAAUUUAUUGUUCUUUUCAAGGAGUUCAUGCCAAAGCAAUGGCAGAAGAACAAAAGGGCUAAAUUUAUCAACCUCGGGCAAGGAAAGAUGAAGGUGGUUGAUUACUACAACACCUUCAUCAAUUGUUCAAAUGGUACAAGGGCUCUCCUGAACAGAAGGUGGAAGGCAUGAGCAAAAGGUGGAGGGCAGUAGCGCAUCACAUAGCUUCCAUGGGAGGUUGUUCCAAACCAGGUCCUUGCCCUCGUCAGAUUCAAAGCUGAUCACAUAUUUUUUGUGGGCUUCCUCGCAAACGCUACGGAUGUGGCUCCUGGGCAAGCUCCUUUCAGCGCCGAUUGCAAAGUUGAGGCUGAGAUGUUCCUGGCUAGCAUCAAUUUCCCCACCAACGCACUAAUCUCAGCCUUUCCACUCCCCAACAUCUUUGGCUUCAGCUUGAAAACUGGUUCACCACAGCUCCAUGACUCAGUUUGUUGCACCAAAGCAUUCAAGUUGGCUUCCAUUCUUCCUUUGCUGAUUGGAAAACUG
rnacentral:lncRNA from 1 species